AGAUUCUGUGAUUUCCUAGCUUUUUACAAAAUCCUACGCUCAAUUUUCUCAUCCUUCAGCUUAGAUUUCUAGACUUUAAUCUUUAUAUUUAUAUAAAGGAGGUUCUUCCAAAGCUUACGUGGCAUGUCUCAAACUCCUCUAAUCAGAUUCUGUUAUUUCCUAGCUUUUUACAAAAUCCUACGCUCAAUUUUCUCAUCCUUCAGCUUAGAUUUCUAGACUUUAAUAUUAAUAUUAAUAAAUAAAUCCUUUUCUCAAAGCUGAGAAACGUAAAGGGCUAAUGAAAGGGUAAAUGUCUCUUUACUAUCCCUGGUUUAAUUUCGCCUCUUUUAGUAAUCAUAUAUAACUAGCUACAAUUACUGCGAGCAAGUUCUCAAAUGAUGCUGAUCAGGCCACCCAAUAGCACCAUGAUGCUCUUGCACCAAUCGAAGGUCGUCCUGCCAUUUCCGGGCGCCUGAAAUAUAGUACCCUCGCCUGCCGAAGGAGGCUGAUAGAGACAACAGAAAUAGAAAGCGCUCUUCUCUCUGCAGCCGCUCUCUCUUCGUUUUUUCAAGUUGGAAUGAAUGAAAGAAGGGAGACAGAGGACCGAUGAUCUAUUAAUGACACAAAAAACUUGUGUAAAUAUAUUUACUCUCCUUCUUCCAUGGUUUGCUCCCGCUUCAAAAACAGAUCCAAUUGAGGAGGAUAAAAAGAUAGCUAGAGCACUAAGGUUUUUGAAGACUUCAGCAUUCGUGUUGCACCAUGAUAAAGAAAUUUAGCCUGUAGGUCAUUGCCAACUGUGUUGUUGUAGUAGGAAGACGGAAUCUUAAAGAAUACAAUUAUUUCGAUCAAGACAGUUGGAGACCCCUAAAUAGCCAACUUCGUAUUUUGUCGGUAAAGAUUUUUUCCUGUUGACUUCCCCAACAGCUUAACUUUACAAUAUAAAUUACUGGAAGUUGUGUGGCCCUCCAUUCUGUGCGACGUAGCAUAAGAUAUAGGAUACUGAAAAGGAAAUCUGUCAAUGAUGAGCAAAUAAGUGCGAAUAAGACUGCAGUAUAGAAUAAAGAGUGGGACUCAAGCUAAAAAUGCAGCUGACAAGAUUUCUUUCAAUGUGGCUAAGCCAGACUCGAAAUAAGCUUUUUCCGCUCUUUUUGACACAUAUACCAGGACGACUUGAUGCAAUUUAUGAGAGACGACGAAGCAUUGAUGAUAAUAAGUCACUUCAAAGGAGCAAGUGGACGGAAAGGAAUUAGCAUGAAACAACUGAACAAUUGGAUGAUAAUAUAUCGAUUCGUAUGGACUGCAAAGACAAUUAUUAUUUUAGUGUAUAUACAUUCAAGGAGCGAAGAGUCUUGGUAUCGUCCUUGAUUGAUACGAAAGAAACUGUCAAUAAAUUCUACAAAAUAUUUAACAUCCUUGUAAGCCUAAUUAUAUUCAUUAUCUGCUGUCUUAUAAUAAAAGUCUCCGGCAUCCAGUUCUUUGUCCUUCUGAGCUCCCAGUUUCUUUUGUGUUUGGAAGCACAUGCAAGAGGAUGUUCGAAGGGAUCAUCUUAUUAUUUGUAGUGCACCCAUUGGUGAUCGAUGCGAAGUUAAUGAUGUUCAGGUUCUUAAAGAGAAAUAGAAUAUAUCUGCAUGCAUUUGGUUGUGGAAGAGAUGAGUAUGUUGACUACAACUUUUCUGACAGUUGGUAUCAUACAUCAUACUGUGAAAGAGCUUUUGAAACAUCAAUAUAUCGGAAGCGCUAGAAAGAGUCAAGUACUUUCAGGAGAAUCAGGUGCACUAGGCUCUUUUUUUGGAGUAGUUGUGAUCUUAGUUGUUUUGCUGUCAGUUUGGUGUAGUAGGGAAGUGGUGUUAGGAAUGGCCAUGGAUAUUAGAUGGGAAUUCUCGAAGCGUGGUUUCAAGUCUGGGAAAUCUCAAACACCCUGCGGUUGCUCUUCUUUGUUUUUGCUCAAGUGGAGUUGCACUUUCUUUGUUUUGAAUGUGAUUCAGAUUUUGUGUAGUUGCUUUUUUCUGGAGCUUGGUUUUAAAAGAGGUUUUUGGUUUGUAAUUAUUUGAGGGGUGCCCACUCUGAUAUUUAUGUAUUAUAUGUUUUCCUUCUUUUUAAAAUUAUUCGAGG